GAUGAACGCUGGCGGCGUGCCUAAUACAUGCAAGUCGAGCGACCGGACGAGAAGCUUUCUUCUCUGAUGUUAGCGGCUGACGGGUGAGUAACACGUGGAUAACCUUCCUAUAAGACUUGGAUAACUUCGUGAAACCGGUGCUAAUACCGGAUGAUAUUUUGAACCGCAUGGUUCAAAAGUUAUUGACGGUCUUGCUGUCACUUAUAGAUGGUUCCGCGCUGCAUUAGCUAGUUGGUAAGGUAACGGCUUACCAAGGCAACGAUGCAUAGCCGACCUGAGAGAGUGAUCGGCCACACUGGAACUGAGACACGGUCCAGACUCCUACGGGAGGCAGCAGUAGGGAAUAUUCCGCAAUGGGCGAAAGCCUGACGGAGCAACGCCGCGUGAGUGAUGAAGGUCUUCGGAUCGUAAAACUCUGUUAUUAGGGAAGAAAAGAUGUGGAAGUAACUGUGCACAUCUUGACGGUACCUAAACAGAAAGCCACGGCUAACUACGUG
rnacentral:rRNA from 1 species